GUAGGUAGGCAAGCGUUGUCCGGAAUUAUUGGGCGUAAAGCGCGCGCAGGCGGUCCUUUAAGGUCUGAUGUGAAAGCCCACGGGCUCAACCGUGAGGGUCAUUGGAAACUGGGGACUUGAGUACAGAAGAGGAAAGCGGAAUUCCAAGUGUAGCGGUGAAAUGCGUAGAGAUUUGGAGGAACACCAGUGGCGAAGGCGGCUUUCUGGUCUGUAACUGACGCUGAGGCGCGAAAGCGUGGGGAGCAAACAGGAUUAGAUACCCUGGUAGUCCACGCCGUAAACGAUGAGUGCUAAGUGUUAGGGGGUUUCCGCCCCUUAGUGCUGCAGCUAACGCAUUAAGCACUCCGCCUGGGGAGUACGGCCGCAAAGGCUGA
rnacentral:rRNA from 1 species